AAGAAGCUACUUUGUGCGUAUUGUUAAUUAAGUUUUAACCUUUAAGCUGUAAUAGGGAGUUUUAUAUCGAAGCUGGAAUGUCAUGCCUCCAUUGCAGAGGACGACAGGAACGUUUCUGCAAACACCCACUUUGAGGAGUGGUGGUUUAAAACUUUCUUACUUGCAUACGGCAAGAUGUAGCGAAAGC
rnacentral:other from 5 species